UACGAAGGGGGCUAGCGUUGCUCGGAAUUACUGGGCGUAAAGCGCACGUAGGCGGAUUGUUAAGUCGGGGGUGAAAUCCUGGAGCUCAACUCCAGAACUGCCUUCGAUACUGGCGAUCUCGAGUUCGGGAGAGGUGAGUGGAACUGCGAGUGUAGAGGUGAAAUUCGUAGAUAUUCGCAAGAACACCAGUGGCGAAGGCGGCCAACUGGACCAGUACUGACGCUGAGGCGCGAAAGCGUGGGGAGCAAACAGG
rnacentral:rRNA from 1 species